rfam:Ictidomys tridecemlineatus contig097436, whole genome shotgun sequence.
UGGGGUAUAGCUCAGUUGGUAGAGCGCUUGCCUUGCAUGCACAAGGCUCUGGGUUCAAUCCCCAGCACCACAC